ACGAACGCUGGCGGCGUGCCUAAUACAUGCAAGUCGAGCGAGAGCGACCGGUGCUUGCACUGGUCAAUCUAGUGGCGAACGGGUGAGUAACACGUGGGUAACCUGCCCAUCAGAGGGGGAUAACAUCCGGAAACGGAUGCUAAAACCGCAUAGGUCUUCGAGCCGCCUGGCUUGAAGAGGAAAAGAGGCGCAAGCUUCUGCUGAUGGAUGGACCCGCGGUGCAUUAGCUAGUUGGUGAGGUAACGGCUCACCAAGGCCGUGAUGCAUAGCCGACCUGAGAGGGUGAUCGGCCACAUUGGGACUGAGACACGGCCCAAACUCCUACGGGAGGCAGCAGUAGGGAAUCUUCCGCAAUGGACGCAAGUCUGACGGAGCAACGCCGCGUGAGUGAAGAAGGUUUUCGGAUCGUAAAACUCUGUUGUUAGAGAAGAACAAGUGCUAGAGUAACUGUUAGCGCCUUGACGGUAUCUAACCAGAAAGCCACGGCUAACUACGUG
rnacentral:rRNA from 1 species